rnacentral:rRNA from 1 species
UGGGGAAUAUUGGACAAUGGGGGAAACCCUGAUCCAGCAAUGCCGCGUGAGUGAAGAAGGCCUUAGGGUUGUAAAGCUCUUUCGCCCGCGAAGAUAAUGACGGUAGCGGGAGAAGAAGCCCCGGCUAACUCCGUGCCAGCAGCCGCGGUAAUACGGAGGGGGCUAGCGUUGUUCGGAAUUACUGUGCGUAAAGCGUACGUAGGCGGAUGCGCAAGUUGGGGGUGAAAUCCCGGGGCUUAACCUCGGAAUUGCCCUCAAAACUGCACGUCUUGAGACCGAGAGAGNUAAGGGGAAUUCCUAGUGUAGAGGUGAAAUUCGUAGACAUUAGGAAGAACACCACUGGCGAAGGCGCCUUACUGGCUCGGUACUGACGCUGAGGUACGAAAGCGUGGGGAGCAAACA